rnacentral:tRNA from 3 species
GAUCCCGUAGCUCAGUUGGUAGAGCAAUUGACUUUUAAUCAAUUGGUCACGCGUUCGAGUCGCGUCGGGAUCACCA